rnacentral:rRNA from 1 species
CAAUAGCGUAUAUUAAAGUUGUUGCAGUUAAAAAGCUCGUAGUUGGAUUUCUGGUGGGAGCGAUCGGUCUGGCGCUUAGCGCGAGUACUUGCAUCGUCUCCGGCCAUCCUUGGGGAGAGUCUGUCUGGCAUUAGGUUGUCGGGCAGAGGAUCCUCAUCGUUUACUGUGAAAAAAUUAGAGUGUUCAAAGCAGGCUUAUGCCGUUGAAUAUAUUAGCAUGAAAUAAUAAGAUAGGACUUUGGUACUAUUUUGUUGGUUUGCGCACCAAAGUAAUGAUUAAUAGGGACAGUUGGGGGUAUUCGUAUUCCGUUGUCAGAGGUGAAAUUCUUGGAUUUACGGAAGACGAACUACUGCGAAAGCAUUUACCAAGGAUGUUUUCAUUAA